GCAGACUCACUCUGCACCUGGCUUUAGCCCCAGGCGGGUACUUUUUCUAUCUGCCAGAGCAGCUCUGGGGUGCUGCGGCCACUUCAACUCAAGCUGUUGAGUGAUGCAGCUGCCCUUGGGAACACAGUG